AUGCGGAGCUCUAUAGCGACCUAUCGGGAGAGCCUCUCCCGGCUCGCUGGCGAGGUCGACGACGCCACGGCAGACGAGAUCCCCGCGCCGUGGCCAUCUCGGCGCGGAGACAACGCCCCUACGCCUCCGUCGUCCGGGCGGCGGAGGCGGUACACCCGCCCGGACCCCGCUGAGCCGGACGAGAUUUCUAAACUCAAGGAAGAUAUUGAAAAAAUUCAAGCUUCUGAGGCUGAAAUAAAGGCAUUGUCCUUCAAUUAUGCUGCCAUGUUNNNNNNNNNNNAGGAGCAACUGGUAAAACUUCGUGAUGAAAAUGGCUCAUUGAGAAGAAGUAUGGAGAGCUCUAACUAUAAGGCAGCCUCAGGCAAUUCUAAUGGUACUUUGCAAAGAUCACCUAGCAGAAUGCGAAGGAACACAGAUCAAGAAAAAACAUCGAGUGUCUUAAAACAGAAUGGGUAUGGUGGUGGUGCUUCACAGGUUAUACAGAAAAAUGGUCCGCACCCACUGCCAGUGCAUUGUAAGGGAGAUGCACUGGUGGAAGAAAGAGCAUAUUUUGCUUCUAAACAGGCUAGUCUUGAAAAUGAAAUUAAACAAUUGAAACAGCAACUCAGGUGCUAUUCAAACAAAGAAGAUGAUACAACACGGAGGUUAGAAGAUGAAAACAAGAGGAACGAAUUUCUUCAGCAGCAGCUAAAUGAACUGAAGGUCGAUAGAGAGAUGGUAGCAACUACCAUGGAAGAGUUACAUAAGGAAUUAAGUGAGAAGAAAGCAGAGUUGAGAUGCCUGCAAGAUGAGUUGAGUACAAGGGACAGUGAGCGUGCAUCAGAUGGAUCUCUUCAAAGCCUUCGAAGUAUGGUGAUGGCUCUACAGAAGGAGAAUUCAGAUUUGAAGAUAGCGAAGGGCAGCCUUGACAAAGAGCUCGUUACUAUGGAAAGCACAACACAAAAAGUUGACAAUAGUACUUCUGAUGUUGACAAUUUUUCUGAUGUGGAGAAGGUCAAGGACGAGAUGGCUUCAUUGAAGAAAGCUUUACAGGGUGCUUUUCAUGAGCGAGACAGAGCAUUACAAAAUUUGUCUCGGCUGAAGCAGCAUUUGUUAGAUAAGGACCUUGAAGACCAAGAAAAGAUGGAUGAAGAUAGCAAAGUCAUUGAAGAGUUGCGGGCAAUCUGUGAGCAGCAAAGAGCUCAUAUAGUGCAGUUAGAGAGGGCAUCAAAGGUUGAGAUGACAAAGCAGGAGGAGAGUAAGAAGACCAUAAAUGAUGAACGCUCGAGGUCAAAUGAACAGAUAGAAGAUCUGCAAUACAAGCUUGCAAACUGUAUGAAUGCACUUGAAUCAAAAGAUCAGGAACUGCUUAAUCUGCAGAGUGCCCUUGGACAGUACUAUGCCGAGAGUGAAGCAAAGGAGCGACUUGGGGAUGAUUUAGCUAUGGCUAGAGAAGCAUUGGCUAAAUUAUCUGAGUCACUGAAGGUGGCAAAUCAAGGAAUUGAAAUUUCAAGAAGGGAAAAGGACGAGGUAGUUGCCAAACUUUCUCAAGCCGAGAAGAUGUUAGCGGAUGGGAAGCGCUCCCUGCAGAAGCUUGAGGAUGACAAUUCAAGAUUAAGGCAUGCGCUAGAACAAAGCAUGACAACAGUCAAUAGGAUGUCACUUGAUUCAGAUAACUCUGUUGACAGACGAAUUGUGAUCAAACUACUAGUUACAUACUUCCAACGGAAUCACAGCAAAGAGGUAUUGGAUCUUAUGGUUCGCAUGCUUGGCUUCUCUGAGGAGGACAAGCAAAGAAUUGGUUCUGCACAGAGCAAUGUUGGUAAGGUUGUUGUCCGUGGUGUUUUGGGUCUUCCUGGGCGUCUAGUUGGAGGAUUUGUUGGUGGAAAUUCAGCAGGAAAAUCUACACAUGCACCCCAGGAUAACCAGUCCUUCGCAGAUCUCUGGGUGGACUUUCUACUCAAGGAGACAGAAGAAAGGGAGAAACAAAAAGCUUCGGAAGCCGCUGCAAGGCUUUCACAUGAAGAAAACCAAACUACCAGUAGGAGUGCAUCAAAUUUACAAGCGUCACAGCACAUUGCAAAUCCUGGCCUUUCCACAAAGCCACAUCAGUUUGAUCGUCCAGAUUCCGAUGAAUUCCGCAUGGUUCCACUUGCGCCCAUGUAUCAUCCAUGCAGACGCCUUUAA
rnacentral:rRNA from 1 species